rnacentral:rRNA from 1 species
GCAUAUCAAUAAGCGGAGGAAAAGAAACCAACAGGGAUUGCCUUAGUAACGGCGAGUGAAGCGGCAACAGCUCAAAUUUGAAAUCUGGCCCCUCCGGGGUCCGAGUUGUAAUUUGGAGAGGAUGUUUCGGGCACGGUCCGGGCUUAAAUUUCUUGGAACAGAAUGUCACAGAGGGUGAGAAUCCCGUCUGGAGCUCGGACACGGCCUGUGUGAAACUCCUUCGACGAGUCGAGUUGUUUGGGAAUGCAGCUCUAAAUGGGUGGUAAAUUUCAUCUAAAGCUAAAUAUUGGCCAGAGACCGAUAGCGCACAAGUAGAGUGAUCGAAAGAUGAAAAGCACUUUGAAAAGAGAGUUAAACAGUACGUGAAAUUGUUGAAAGGGAAGCGCUGGCAACCAGACUUGCGCGUCGGGGUUCCCCCUUGCUUCUGCCUGGGUUACUCCCCGGCGUUCAGGCCAACAUCGGUUUCGGGGGUUGGUUAAAGGCCCUGGGAAUGUACCUACCCUCCGGGGUAGACUUAUAGCCCAGGGUGUCAUGCGACCUCCCGGGACCGAGGAACGCGCUUCGGCUCGGAUGUUGGCGUAAUGGUUGUCAGCGACCCGUCUUGAAACACGGACCAAGGAGUCUAACAUCUAUGCGAGUGUUAGGGUGUCAAACCCUUACGCGGAAUGAAAGUGAACGGAGGUAGGAAGCCCCUCAAAAAGGCUGCACUAUCGACCGAUCCUGAAGUUUACGGAUGGAUUUGAGUAAGAGCAUAGCUGUUGGGACCCGAAAGAUGGUGAACUAUGCCUGAAUAGGGUGAAGCCAGAGGAAACUCUGGUGGAGGCUCGCAGCGGUUCUGACGUGCAAAUCGAUCGUCAAAUUUGGGUAUAGGGGCGAAAGACUAAUCGAACCAUCUGGUAGCUGGUUCCUGCG